rnacentral:rRNA from 1 species
ACGGAGCGCCGGACACGGACUAUUUCGGUAGGAAGCGUGCGGAGGCUUAGUGGCGGACGGGUGAGUAACGCGUGGAUAACCUGCCACAUACCGGCGGGAUAACAGCUGGAAACAGCUGCUAAUACCGCAUAUGCCCGCAGUGCCGCAUGGCACAGCGGGGAAAACUCCGGUGGUAUGCGAUGGGUCCGCGUCUGAUUAGGCAGUUGGCGGGGCAACGGCCCACCAAACCGACGAUCAGUAGCCGGCCUGAGAGGGCGGACGGCCACACUGGGACUGAGACACGGCCCAGACUCCUGCGGGAGGCAGCAGUGGGGAAUAUUGCACAAUGGGGGAAACCCUGAUGCAGCGACGCCGCGUGAAGGAAGAAGUAUCUCGGUAUGUAAACUUCUAUCAGCAGGGAAGAAAACAGACGGUACCUGACUAAGAAGCCCCGGCUAACUACGUGCCAGCAGCCGCGGUAAUACGUAGGGGGCAAGCGUUAUCCGGAUUUACUGGGUGUAAAGGGGGCGCAGACGGCCAUGGCAAGCCCGGUGUGAAAGGCAGGGGCAUAACCC